rnacentral:lncRNA from 1 species
UAUUUCUGUCACAACCUUUGCUUCCUCCUUCAAAGCAAAAUUUGGACCCACCUUGGAUAUUCUUGUGAAUAAUGCAGGGGUAUCAUUCAAUGGACUAGAGGAGAAUUCAGUGGAGCAUGCUGAAACUGUGAUCAAGACCAAUUUCUAUGGCCCUAAGAUGUUGAUUGAGGCUCUCUAUCCCCUUUUUCGUUGCUCUCCUUCUAUCACUCGCAUCCUCAACGUUAGCUCAAGGCUUGGCUCCCUAAAUAAGAUGAGAAAUGCAGAGAUGAGAGCAGUGCUGGAACGUGAAAACUUAAUGGAAGAAGAAAUAGAGGGAAUGGUGAAGAUGUUCCUAAGGGACGUGAAAAAUAGAACAUGGGAGAGUAAAGGGUGGCCAUCAUAUUGGACAGAGUAUGCG